UAAGGAAUAUUGGACAAUGGAGGCAACUCUGAUCCAGCCAUGCCGCGUGAAGGAAUAAGGCACUAUGGGUUGUAAACUUCUUUUAGACGGGACAAAACCCCUUUACGUGUAAAGGGUUGAUGGUACUGUCAGACUAAUCAUCGGCUAACUUCGUGCCAGCAGCCGCGGUAAUACGGAGGGUGCGAGCGUUAUCCGGAUUUACUGGGUUUAAAGGGUGCGUAGGUGGGCUUAUAAGUCAGUGGUGAAAUCUCCGA
rnacentral:rRNA from 1 species